rnacentral:misc_RNA from 1 species
AACGCAUCUUGCGCUCCUUGGUAUUCCGAGGAGCAUGCCUGUUUGAGUGUCAUUAAAUUAUCAACCUUACCAGCUUUGUUGCUUGGUCUGGCUUGGAUGUGGGGGUUUUUGCAGGCUUUUCACAGUCAGCUCCCCUGAAAUGUAUUAGCGGUACCCUUGUGGUAAACGGCUAUUGGUGUGAUAACUAUCUACGCCAUUAGACGCCCACGUUAUAUAUGGGGGUCAUGCUGCUUCUAACAGUCCAUUGACUUGGACAGACUACAAAUGACAAUUUUGACCUCAAAUCAGGUAGGACUACCCGCUGAACUUAA